GGAAGGGAGGUGAGCUGGAGUGGGCGGGGCGAGGGAAGGAGGCAGUGAAAGAAAAUGGGAGCAGGAGGCAGAGCGGCGCCUGGACCGGAGGGAAGGGCCACCCCACCCCACCCCAAGCUGUCGCGGGGCUCCUCCCCGCCCUCCAGCCCAGGCACCCCGCCGGCUCAUUGCUGGUUCCUAUGCACUGUCCCCACCCCAAGACUCCAGCCUAGGAGCCCCCCCUUCAAGGAGGUGGCUGCACCCCAUUGGCCUGUCUCCUAACCCUCUUGUCCUGGCACCAGGGGUGGCAAACGAAGAGGGAACAACCUCCUCCAUCCGUCUCUCUCUGGGCAUCCUGCCCUGCCCAGGGACUGGCAUGGGGCAAUACCCGCAGUGUCCCCCAACUCAAGGCCUCCAGGGUUGACCCCAAAGAGCCCCCUUAGCGGGAAGGAGGUUUGGGUACAUCUACAUCCAUCCUACCUUCUGGAGAGGCAUGCGGAGGUUCCAGAGAGGGGAAACUGCGGCAGAAGAGAGCCAAAGUCACAGUAUGGACCGCCUCACCCCUCCCAAGUGUCCCACCCUUAAUGCCCCCCAGUACCCCCACCACCCGGCUCCUGGCCUACUCCGCAUCCUCCGUGGCAACCACGAUCCUGCCUGGGGGAACUGGAGUCUGGGUCCACGAUGGAAAUCUGCCCUUGAAGAACUGCCCCCAGGGAUGGAUUCCAGUGCUAUGCUCCACGUAGCACCUUCCCUACCCCACUUCCUACUCCUCAAGCCCCUCUAGGUCCUGGUGACAUCCACUCCUCCAGCCAGCCCUCCCAGCCUGCUGGCACUUGCUCCCUACUGUUUCCCAUGGGGUUGGGCAGUGGGAUCUGGCUGCCUAGGUUCAGAUCCAGGCCUCACCUCUUUCUGCCUGUAUUCCCCCCACCCCCGCCCCCGGCAGCUUGGUUAACCAUUCAGAGCCUCAGUGUCCCCAUCUGUCAAACGAGGGUAGCUUUGAAAACCUAUGUCAUGAGACUUUGAUGAUGCUGAAAGGUCAUAUGUGCAAACUGGGUAGAAGAACCCUAGGCCUGUUGCUAGAGCCACACCGGCUCCUCACGUGUGCCAAGCUGCUUCAGUGGUGUCCGAUCCUUUGUGAACCGGUGGACUGUAGCCCACCAGGCUUCUCUGUCCAUGGGGAUUCUGCAGGCAAGAAUACAGGAGUGGGUUGCCAUGUCCUCCUCCAGAGGAUCUUCCUGACCCAGGGAUCAAACUCAAGUCUCUGACAUCUCCUACAUUGGCAGGCAGGUCCUUUACCACUAGCGUCACUUGGGAAGCCCUUAUACUGGCCCCUCACUAAACCCCAAACACACCCGGCACGCUCCUACCUCUAGGCUUCCCACUGGAUGUUCCUUCCAGAUGUCCCCACGGCUCCCUCCUCCCUUUACUCACAUCUGUGCUAGUGUGCCGCCUCCUCAGAAGGACCCUCCCAAGCCAUCGCCAGGCUGUUUGCCAUCACUCGUUUAUCACCACCUGGCAUUAUAUUACUUACCCGAGCUUAGGCUCCGCAACCCAAGGGCCCUGGCUUCACAGUUAUUGGCUGUGUGACCUUGGGCAUGUUACUUAACUUCUCUGAACUUCAAUCCCCUCGUUUUUAAAAUGGGGAUAGUAAUAAACCGGUCUCAUACAACUGUUGGGUGAAUAAG
ensembl:lncRNA